UUGAACGCUGGCGGCAGGCUUAACACAUGCAAGUCGAGCGGUAGCACAGGGGAGCUUGCUCCCUGGGUGACGAGCGGCGGACGGGUGAGUAAUGUCUGGGAAACUGCCUGAUGGAGGGGGAUAACUACUGGAAACGGUAGCUAAUACCGCAUAACGUCGCAAGACCAAAGAGGGGGACCUUAGGGCCUCUUGCCAUCAGAUGUGCCCAGAUGGGAUUAGCUAGUAGGUGGGGUAAUGGCUCACCUAGGCGACGAUCCCUAGCUGGUCUGAGAGGAUGAGCGGCCACACUGGAACUGAGACACGGUCCAGACUCCUACGGGAGGCAGCAGUGGGGAAUAUUGCACAAUGGGCGCAAGCCUGAUGCAGCCAUGCCGCGUGUGUGAAGAAGGCCUUCGGGUUGUAAAGCACUUUCAGCGAGGAGGAAGGUGGUGAACUUAAUACGUUCAUCAAUUGACGUUACUCGCAGAAGAAGCACCGGCUAACUCCGUG
rnacentral:rRNA from 1 species